ACGGGAGGCAGCAGUGAGGAAUAUUGGUCAAUGGGCGGAAGCCUGAACCAGCCAUGUCGCGUGCAGGACUACGGCCCUACGGGUCUUAAACUGCUUUUGAUUGGGGAUAAAGUGGGGGACGCGUCCCCUAUUGCAGGUACCAAUCGAAUAAGGAUCGGCUAACUCCGUGCCAGCAGCCGCGGUAAUACGGAGGAUCCGAGCGUUAUCCGGAUUUAUUGGGUUUAAAGGGUGCGUAGGCGGGCUGUUAAGUCAGCGGUGAAACCCCCGGGCUCAACCCGGGGACUGCCAUUGGAACUGGCGGCCUAGAGUACGUUGGGAGUGCGCGGAAUGUGUGGUGUAGCGGUGAAAUGCAUAGAUAUCACGAAGAACUCCGAUUGCGAAGGCAGCCAUCUGGCGUGUUACUGACGCUCAUGCUCGAAGGCGCGGGUAUCAAACAGGAUUAGAUACCCUGGUA
rnacentral:rRNA from 1 species